rnacentral:rRNA from 1 species
CUACGGGUCGCUGCAGUGAGGAAUAUUGCACAAUGGGGGGAACCCUGAUGCAGCAACGCCGCGUGGAGGAUGACGCAUUUCGGUGUGUAAACUCCUUUUAUAUGUCAAGAAAAUGACGGUAGCAUAUGAAUAAGCACCGGCUAACUCCGUGCCAGCAGCCGCGGUAAUACGGAGGGUGCAAGCGUUACUCGGAAUCACUGGGCGUAAAGGACGCGUAGGCGGGUUGGAAAGUCAGGUGUGAAAUCCUACAGCUUAACUGUAGAACUGCACUUGAAACUUCUAAUCUAGAGUAUGGGAGGGGGAGAUGGAAUUAGUGGUGUAGGGGUAACAUCCGUAGAUAUCACUAGGAAUACCUAAAGCGAAGGCGAUCUCCCGGAACAUUACUGACGCUAAGGCGUGAAAGCGUGGGGAGCAAACAGGAUUAGAUACCCGUGUAGUC